rnacentral:rRNA from 1 species
UACGUAGGGUCCAAGCGUUGUCCGGAUUUAUUGGGCGUAAAGAGCUCGUAGGCGGUUCGGUAAGUCGGAUGUGAAAACUCAGGGCUCAACCCCGGAGACGCCAUCCGAUACUGCUGUGACUGGAGUCUGGUAGGGGAUCACGGAAUACCUGGUGUAGCGGUGAAAUGCGCAGAUAUCAGGUGGAACACCGAUGGCGAAGGCAGUGAUCUGGGCCAGUACUGACGCUGAGGAGCGAAAGCGUGGGGAGCAAACAGG